rnacentral:rRNA from 24 species
UCAAAACGGAGAGUUUGAUCCUGGCUCAGGAUGAACGCUGGCGGUAUGCUUAACACAUGCAAGUCGAACGGACUCUUCGGAGUUAGUGGCGGACGGGUGAGUAACGCGUGAGAAUCUGGCUUCAGGUUCGGGACAACAGUUGGAAACGGCUGCUAAUACCGGAUGUGCCUGUGGGUGAAAGAUUUAUCACCUGAAGAUGAGCUCGCGUCUGAUUAGCUAGUAGGUGUGGUAAGAGCGCACCUAGGCGACGAUCAGUAGCUGGUCUGAGAGGAUGACCA